AUGGACUUUUCAUAAACUGCCAGUCUUUAACUUUCUGUCUACUUAAACUCAGGUUUCUUGAGCUGACUGUCUGUGACAGGCCAGAACUGCUGGUUUGUGGGAUUUAUCCAAGGGACAAGCCUGUGGCUCAUGUUCAGGAAGGUGACUGUGACAUGGGAGGUCUUUGUUGCAGUCUCAAACACUUGCUCUUGUUGUAUGUUCUAGAUCUGGUGGGGGGGGCCGAGAUUACAAACCAAAACGUCAUGCAGUGGCCUUGGAGGCUUCUGGAGUGUGCAGUUGCUUGCAUGUUGUGCCCUCAGAAAUGGUGCCACCAAGGUGUGGGGUGAUACAUCUGCACUGCAUGGUGCUUCUGGACCAAGGAGCAUUUAGAUUGUUGCCCUCUCAGAGGGAGCUAUGCAGAGCUCGAAUUUUGCAGGCAGGCAGGUGAGGUGUUUGCAUGUUGGGGAUGAUGGUGAUGAGCUGGAAGUGUCAGAGUUAUCCAAAGCAGCUCUGGCUUUUUAUCCUGCUUGUUUGUAUUCAGUGUUCUGUCUCUGCCUUGAUGUGUGUGAUGAAGAUCUAUCACUGGGGAUGUGAUUCUCAUCCCAACCUGUGCCCUUUAUUUGUUCAUCCCUAAGGGAAUGUUUCUAUCCCUCUCUAUUACCAGCCCUUCAUUUUCCUUGGCACUCUCAUUCUCUUGCUCGACUCUCCUUCCAACAAGCAUUUAUCUCUGUGUCUUUCCCUUCUGAUGCAGUUUCUAGUGCUUUCUUGACCCUUUUCCAGGUUCUUGCUGAGAAUUCCUGUGAUGUCACUGCGGUCAGCCAGCUGCAUUGGCUGUGGCUGGUCCUGCUCAUGAGGACAUAAAACGCUGCUUGGCUGCCACUCACAUGUGCACAGUAUAAUCCUUUGAACAGCUGCAUGUUAGUCUGGGCUUUCCAAAGCUAAAGUGUUUGAACACUUGUCUGCAUCUCCAAAGGAUUAUGCAGGGGAGUGUUUGGAGGCUGGAAGUGCCCUGGUUUUUCAGGUGUGUCUGAAGCUGUGAUAGUGUGUCAUGCAUCAGAAACAGAGGCUUGAAGGGAAGGGAGCUGGGACUCUGAAAUCCCUUUGCUGCAUGCACCGUGACAGUGAAUUUAAUAAUUCCGGUUGAGGACAGAAAGUCUAACUACACCCAGGCACACGCUGGAGAGCGUUGCAGACAGCCUGCAUCAGUAGGGAAGUCUAAACUUCGCCAAGAGCAGACCAGGUGGCACAGGAAACAGCCCAGUGUGAGCCUAAUGUGUAGUUCACGGACACUCUACAGCAGCUAUAUACCUGGGGGUGGGUGUCUGUGGUUAGCUGAUCAGCACCACUGCCUAAGUGGAAACAGAAAAUGGCAUUGGAACUAAUGUUCCUUGUUUUGGAUGUGCUUGCUCUUUUUUGCUGUGGAUUGCACAGAGGCUGCAGGGUGAGGUCACGCUGUGCUGGACGCCAAGGGGACCAUGCAGAUGAGCAGAACUACAAUGUACUGACUGUGAGCAGCUUCCAACAGAGUCCUUGCCUUCAUGGUUGCUGGGAGAGGGCCUUUCCUCUUCUAGGUGAUUGAUGCUGGCCUGCAUCAAGCAAGUGUAGCACACCAUGUUUCCCUGGGAGGAAGUAAGCACUGUUUUCUUGAAACAGCAUGACCAAAAUGAAAUCAAAAUGCAUCCAUGGCAAGCUGAGGCUGGGUAUGGACUCUGAGACUCUCUGAGUCUGAGAGACUGUUGCAAGGCCUCAGGACAGGACUUUGUAGUAGUUCUGCAGGUAGAGGCAGAAAGCAAAAUGGGCAUUUGGGGACUUGUUUCACUAUUGUUUAAAAUAUCUUGGUUUUUCACACUAAGAAUACAGAAGCUUUUCUUAGAAAAUGAAGGGAGGGAUCCACCAUUGUGAACUAUAAACUACAGGAUGAGUUUAUUUUUUCUCUCCUUGACUUUGACUCAGUUUUGGAUAUUUGGAGAUUUCAGUGUUUCUCUUUCCAAACUAGAUUUUUUUUUUUUUUCCCUUCCAGUCUGAAGUUUGAACUGGUGUCUCUCUUCUCUCUCCCAGUCUAAUUUACUCUGGUUAGUUUAUGCUUCUGCCUGCUCUUAGUUCCAGCCUUUCCUACAAUAGAGAAAUGGUCUCAGUUACUGACUCUUGUCCUCUUGGAAGCACUCUGGGCAUGUCUCAGUGAGUGACACCUGGGCACACAAGCUAUGAGGUAAACUAAGCCCUGAAGGAAAUGAGCACAGCACCAAACCAGGGCAGGCGAGUGGGUCUCCACAAAGUGUGUACGUUAUCUUUCUCGGGUGGUAAAAUGACGCAUUAAUCUGUGCUGAGGCUUAUCAAAUUCAUGGCUUAUCAGCACAGUUCAUGUCAUGCACGUAAACAGCAGGACCUCCACCUCUCCAGUCCCAGUCUUGUUCUCUCUCCAGCUCCAACUGUAGCAGCUGUUCCCUGGAACCUGUCUUUGUGCCAUCUUUGUUGUCUCCCAGGUGCCGGGCCUGGGACAGAGGGGCCCAGAGCUGCCAUGACGACAGGUGACUGCUGCCACCUCCCUGGCUCCCUCUGCGACUGUCCGGGCAGUGCUGCCCUCUCCAAGUCGGUGGAGGAGUCGGACAUGGGCCGCCCGCAGUACAUCACCCAGGUCACGGCCAAGGACGGCCGGCUCCUCUCCACCGUGAUCAAGGCGCUGGGUGCCCAGAGUGAUGGUCCCAUCUGUCGAAUCUGUCAUGAAGGUGGAAAUGGGGAGGGACUGCUUUCCCCAUGUGACUGCACAGGAACACUGGGCACCGUGCACAAGAGCUGCCUGGAAAAAUGGUUAUCCUCCUCCAACACAAGUUACUGUGAGCUCUGCCACACAGAAUUUGUUGUAGAAAGAAGACCAAGACCCUUGACAGAGGCCUUGCUCCUUCCUGCUGCUCUGUGCUCCUCCCAGUUGAAGGAGAAAACAGGACAGGGCUCAGCUGGUCCUGAUGUUCUUCUCUGUACUGACCACAGGGGAUCAGUCCAUCAGCCUCCCAGAGCUGGAACAUACAACGUGGGCUCUGGCUGCCUGGGGAAACUUAGAGCUGGUCACAGUGGCUGCAGCGGUCACCGGUCAGCACAGCUCAUCUCUGGGAAGGGACCAUCAGCUUCAUUAAGAAUGGGCUUUGUCAUGUGGUUUUGAGAUCCUUCAGAAGGAGAGGGCCUGAGGCUGAUUUUGGGCUGCAGGAGACAUUUUGUGUGGUCUUCAUGGUCACAGGCUGUGUCUUCCAGAAGGACUGCAUGGAUGGAAGAUGCUCACUAGCUACUGUAUUAAUCCUGCUGUGUCCCUGCUCACCAAGACCAAACUAUUCCUUUUCUCACGAGCUUUUCUGGGGUACUUAUUGCAAGCACUUGACAAACAGUAAUUGAAUUUUGCAGCCUCUUUUACAGAGGACAGGUGUCAACUUUGUCCAGUAUGGAUUAAAGAUAAUUUGUUAAUAGAAUUAUAUUUUUGUUUUCUUUAAGCAUCCAUUGAUUUAUGUUGUGGUCUGUUCAAUGUAAAAACAGUAACAGUAUUGACUGCCAGUGUGCCUAAUCUCUGAACAUAGAGUGGGGAACUCAUCUGAGCCCAGAGCCAGCUCUGGCAACCACAGGCUGUAGGGGAAAUACCUCC